UACCAUGAAGAAGAAUGACUCAGG
rnacentral:piRNA from 1 species